rnacentral:tRNA from 1 species
GGGAGCAGAAGGGUGCUGGUGUGCCUGCCGGACUUCAAAUCCGGUUCCUCGUCCAAAAAGGCGAGGGGUGGGUUCGAUUCCCACAUGCUCCC